GUGGAAACACGAGAGUGCCUCGCAAGGAGGAGCCUGGAGACAGGUGCUGCAGUGGCUGUCGUCAGCUCGUGUCGUGAGAUGUUGGGUUAAGUCCCGCAACGAGCGCCAACCCUAUUCUUUAGUUGCCAUCAUUGAGUUGGGCACUCUAAAGAGACUGCCGGUGUCAAACCGGAGGAAGGUGGGGAUGACGUCAAGUCCUCAUGGCCUUUAUGACCAGGGCUACACACGUACUACAAUGGCCGGUACAAAGGGCAGCGACACAGCGAUGUGAAGCGAAUCCCGAAAAGCCGGUCUCAGUCCGGAUUGGAGUCUGCAACUCGACUCCAUGAAGUUGGAAUCGCUAGUAAUCGCGGAUCAGCACGCUGCGGUGAAUACGUUCCCGGGCCUU
rnacentral:rRNA from 1 species